GACGAACGCUGGCGGCGUGCUUAACACAUGCAAGUCGAACGGAAAGGCCCUGCUUGCAGGGUACUCGAGUGGCGAACGGGUGAGUAACACGUGGGUGAUCUGCCCUGCACUUCGGGAUAAGCCUGGGAAACUGGGUCUAAUACCGGAUAGGAGCCAUUUUUAGUGUGAUGGUUGGAAAGUUUUUUCGGUGUAGGAUGAGCUCGCGGCCUAUCAGCUUGUUGGUGGGGUAAUGGCCUACCAAGGCGGCGACGGGUAGCCGGCCUGAGAGGGUGGACGGCCACAUUGGGACUGAGAUACGGCCCAGACUCCUACGGGAGGCAGCAGGGGGGAAUAUUGCACAAUGGGCGCAAGCCUGAUGCAGCGACGCCGCGGGGGGGAUGACGGCCUUCGGGUUGGAAACUCCGUUCGCUAGGGACGAAGCUUUUUGUGACGGUACCUAGAUAAGAAGCACCGGCUAACUACGUG
rnacentral:rRNA from 1 species